GCCGGGAUGGCGGAAUUGGCAGACGCAAGGGACUUAAAAUCCUUUGAAGGGUAACUUCGUGCGGGUUCGAGUCCCGCUCCCGGCA
rnacentral:tRNA from 1 species